rnacentral:rRNA from 1 species
GAUGAACGCUGGCGGCGUGCCUAAUACAUGCAAGUCGAGCGAACGGACGAGAAGCUUGCUUCUCUGAUGUUAGCGGCGGACGGGUGAGUAACACGUGGAUAACCUACCUAUAAGACUGGGAUAACUUCGGGAAACCGGAGCUAAUACCGGAUGAUAUUUUGAACCGCAUGGUUCAAAAGUGAAAGACGGUCUUGCUGUCACUUAUAGAUGGAUCCGCGCUGCAUUAGCUAGUUGGUAAGGUAACGGCUUACCAAGGCAACGAUGCAUAGCCGACCUGAGAGGGGGAUCGGCCACACUGGAACUGAGACACGGUCCAGACUCCUACGGGAGGCAGCAGUAGGGAAUCUGCCGCAAUGGGCGAAAGCCUGACGGAGCAACGCCGCGUGAGUGAUGAAGGUCUUCGGAGCGUAAAACUCUGUUAUUAGGGAAGAACAUAUGUGUAAGUAACUGUGCACAUCUUGACGGUACCUAAUCAGAAAGCCACGGCUAACUACGUG